UACGUAGGGUGCAAGCGUUAAUCGGAAUUACUGGGCGUAAAGCGUGCGCAGGCGGUUUCGUAAGUCUGUCGUGAAAUCCCCGGGCUUAACCUGGGAAUGGCGAUGGAGACUGCGAGGCUAGAGUUUGGCAGAGGGGGGUAGAAUUCCACGUGUAGCAGUGAAAUACGUAGAGAUGUGGAGGAACACCGAUGGCGAAGGCAGCCCCCUGGGUCAAAACUGACGCUCAUGCACGAAAGCGUGGGGAGCAAACAGG
rnacentral:rRNA from 1 species